ACGGCUCAGUAACACGUAGUCAACAUAACCAAAGGACGUGGAUAAACUCGGGAAACUGAGGCUAAACCGCGAUAGAUCAAGAUACCUGGAAUGGUUUUUGAUCAAAAUCUAUAUGGCCUUUGGAUUGGACUGCGUCCGAUCAGGCUGUUGGUGAGGUAAUGGCCCACCAAACCUGUAACCGGUACGGGCUCUGAGAGGAGGAGCCCGGAGAUGGGUACUGAGAAAAGGACCCAGGCCCUAUGGGGCGCAGCAGGCGCGAAACCUCUGCAAUAGGCGAAAGCCUGACAGGGUUACUCUGAGUGACUUUCGCUAAGAAAGUCUUUUGACACCUCUAAAAAUGGUGUAGAAUAAGGGGUGGGCAAGUCUGGUGUCAGCCGCCGCGGUAAUACCAGCACCCCGAGUGGUCGGGACGAUUAUUGGGCCUAAAGCAUCCGUAGCCGGUUUUACAAGUCCUCCGUUAAAUCCAGCUGCUUAACAGAUGGGCUGCGGAGGAUACUAUAAGACUAGGAGGCAGGAGAGGCAAGCGGUACUCAGUGGGUAGGGGUAAAAUCCGUUGAUCCAUUGAAGACCACCAGUGGCGAAGGCGGCUUGCCAGAAUGCGCUCGACGGUGAGGGAUGAAAGCUGGGGGAGCAAACCGGAUUAGAUACCCGGGUAGUCCCAGCUGUAAACGAUGCAGACUCGGUCAUGGACUAGCUUUAUGCUAGUCCAGUGCCGCAGGGAAGCCGUUAAGUCUGCCGCCUGGGUAGUACGGUCGCAAGACUGAAACUUAAAGGAAUUGGCGGGGGAGCACCACAAGGGGUGAAGCCUGCGGUUCAAUUGGAGUCAACGCCGGGAAUCUUACCGGGGGCGACAGCAGGGUGAAGGUCAAGCUGAAGACUUUACUAGACAAGCUGAGAGGAGGUGCAUGGCCGUCGCCAGCUCGUGCCGUGAGGUGUCCUGUUAAGUCAGGUAACGAGCGAGACCCCUGCC
rnacentral:rRNA from 1 species